rnacentral:tRNA from 1 species
AACCCAUUGAAGUGAUUGCACAACCGCACUGACUGUUAAUCAGGGGGUCGUUGGUUCGAGUCCAACAUCGGGCGCCA